GAUGAGAACGCAGCGAAAUGCGAUAAGUAGUGUGAAUUGCAGAAUUCAGUGAAUCAUCGAAUCUUUGAACGCACAUUGCGCCCCUUGGUAUUCCAUGGGGCAUGCCUGUUCGAGCGUCAUUUGUACCUUCAAGCUUUGCUUGGUGUUGGGUGUUUGUCCCUCGGGACUCGCCUUAAAGUCAUUGGCAGCCAGUGUUUUGGUUUUGAAGCGCAGCACAAGUCGCGAUUCAAGGCUAUCCGCCCGCUUCCACAAGCCUUUUUCACUUUUGACCUCGGAUCAGGUAGGGAUACCCGCUGAACUUAAGCAUAUCAAUAAGCGGAGGA
rnacentral:misc_RNA from 1 species